CUCAAGAGGAAAAGUCAAUACCAGUGCAGGCUUUAGAAAUACCCUUUUGAAAGGUAAGAAAAAUUUAGUGCCACAGGACUCCAUAAAUUGCUCUUUCACUGUGCCUGACAGUGUUAAAGCAGCUUCCCCAAGGACCUCUAAUUCAUCAGGAGAAUCUGCUUCCUCCCUCAUGUUUUCUACUCGCCCUCUUUUCUCCCAGCUGCACCAUUAGCAGGGAGCAUAUUGCCAGAGACCUGGGAAGCACCUGGAAAACAGAAGCGCCUUACCAUGAACGGGUGAGGCUCUGGAGCCCGUACAGGUAAUGGGAUUGAAAAUGAAGAUGUAUUAGGGGAAGAGGAGUUACAACUCUGCUGGUUAAGUGAUGAAGUGAAUGGAAAUGAAAAACAUGGCAUCAAUUAUUAAGUGAUCUUCGCAGCUCCAGGCAAAGGUAACAGAUGAAGGAGGCUGGAUACCGUUGAAGGUUAUAGAAUGAUCCGGCAACUGUAACCUGAGGCCUCGCUGUGACACAAAGGAGAUAAAACACCCAAGAAACACCCUAAGCAGUUGCCAUCACAUUUCAGAUAGUUUAAAAGUUUUAUCCUUUUCUGACUCAGCUUCUCAUCGGACAGAAAGCAGGGGUCCACUGCAACCCCUCCCUGCCUCACAGCGGAAAAACAAGCCCACUCUGGGCUCCCUGAAGAUUCUGAACAAAAGCACACAGCGCUUCCGCAAGUUACUGUGGAUGCAAAGCACCACCAUUAAAGGAAC
ensembl:lincRNA